GCAGCUACAUCACAGUGAAACACUUGUUCCCAUACAAUCACCCAAGUUAAACAAUGUUGAGCCUGGUCAGUACCUAGAUGGGUGACCACUUGGGAAUACCAGGUUCUGUAAG